GAGCCAGAGAAUAGUGCAGCUCCAGACAUUUUUUUCCAGUUGGAGACCUAGCCUCGCCCGAGGCCCGAUCACACUUCCUGCCUUGGCUUCUGCGGAUAUCUCUGUGUCCUUACAGGCCUCUGCUAUUCAACUUCAUUACAUUCAAGAGCAAAUUCAAUCCACAUUCCCUGAGUGUCUGAUGUGGUUCAGGCCCCAUACCAGGCAAAAAUACCUGGCGCUUGUUUUCCAGGAGGGCUGCUUCCCAAGUCCACACGUCAUACAGCACGGCAAAUCUGUCCACGCCUGCGUGGGCCCAUCCCCCGUCCUGCCCACGCUUUGAUCCACCGCCCUCUCUGUGACCUGGGAGAGAAGCAGGGCCCUGCACCACAUCCCCUGCACCCAGUGGGUGAUACAGAAAUACCCGUGGGCAGCAAGAGGAGUCUAAACAAUGCAGCUGGCCACAAGCAGCAGCUCUGCCUCCAGUUCCUUCAGAUCACUCAAGGCUGCCUCGUACAUGACACGCACGCCUUGCUGGUCCUGGGUGUGGACGCAGCCCCCUCCUGUGCUGUAGGAGUCAUCCUGGUUCUCCACUUCGGAGAACUCCAUGAAUUGGACGCUGUGGACCUGGGGAAAGAAAGCCAAGCCCAGCGGUUACUGGAAAAGGGAGAGCUGUAUUUGGCCAGCCCCGACGGGCCAAGCAGCAGCCUUCUGCUCCCACACG